GAUGAACGCUAGCUACAGGCUUAACACAUGCAAGUCGAGGGGAAACGACAUCGAAAGCUUGCUUUUGAUGGGCGUCGACCGGCGCACGGGUGAGUAACGCGUAUCCAACCUGCCCACCACUUGGGGAUAACCUUGCGAAAGUAAGACUAAUACCCAAUGAUAUCUCUAGAAGACAUCUGAAAGAGAUUAAAGAUUUAUCGGUGAUGGAUGGGGAUGCGUCUGAUUAGCUUGUUGGCGGGGGAACGGCCCACCAAGGCAACGAUCAGUAGGGGUUCUGAGAGGAAGGUCCCCCACAAUGGAACUGAGACACGGUCCAAACUCCUACGGGAGGCAGCAGUGAGGAAUAUUGGUCAAUGGACGAGAGUCUGAACCAGCCAAGUAGCGUGCAGGAUGACGGCCCUAUGGGUUGUAAACUGCUUUUAUAAGGGAAUAAAGUGGGUCUCGUGAGGCUUUUUGCACGUACCUUAUGAAUAAGGACCGGCUAAUUCCGUGCCAGCCGCCGCAGUAA
rnacentral:rRNA from 1 species